rnacentral:rRNA from 1 species
GGCCCAGAUCGUUUACCGUGAAAAAAUUAGAGUGUUCAAAGCAGGCAGAUCAAUUUUCUGCCCCGAAUACAUUAGCAGGGAUAAGGAAUAGGACCCUGUCCUCUAUUUCAUGGUUUUGGCAGCGGAGGACUGGGUAAUGAUUAAUAGGGAUAGGGGGGCAUUAAUAUUUAAUGUCAGAGGUGAAAUUGGAUUAGAAAGAUUAAUUUGGAAAGCAUGCCAAGGAUGUUUUCAUAAUCAAGAAGAAAUUUAGGGGAUGAAGAGAUCAGAUCGUGUAGUUUAACCAUAAACGAGCCGACCAGCGAUAGGAGACGUUGAAUCAAAACACCACCAUCGGUGCGGUCGUCCUGCGUCGGUCUUCGGGCCGGCGCGGGACGGCUAGCCCCUGACCCA